AGCGAACGCUGGCGGCAGGCUUAACACAUGCAAGUCGAGCGGGCCCUUCGGGGGCAGCGGCGGACGGGUGAGUAACGCGUGGGAACGUGCCUUCUGGGCUGGAAUAACCCUGGGAAACUAGGGCUAAUACCGGAUACGCCCUUUUGGGGAAGGGUUUACUGCCGGAAGAUCGGCCCGCGUCUGAUUAGCUAGUUGGUGGGGUAACGGCCUACCAAGGCGACGAUCAGUAGCUGGUCUGAGAGGAUGAUCAGCCACACUGGGACUGAGACACGGCCCAGACUCGUACGGGAGGCAGCAGUGGGGAAUAUUGGACAAUGGGCGCAAGCCUGAUCCAGCCAUGCCGCGUGAGUGAUGAAGGCCUUAGGGUUGUAAAGCUCUUUUAUCCGGGACGAUAAUGACGGUACCGGAGGAAUAAGCCCCGGCUAACUUCGUGCCAGCAGCCGCGGUAAGAC
rnacentral:rRNA from 1 species